ACCGAUUCCAAUCCAUUUUCUUUCCCAUGAUUGUACCAAACACACCCUUUGUUUAUUUAAUCUAUAGGGUUGGAUUCAGGUAAGAACACCUCUCUAUAUGAGAAUACAUUUUGUAUAUGAGAACAAAUCCUGACCUUUGAUACUAAUAGAUCUCAAUGGUUAAUAUUAAAUGUGUUCUUUUCAUAAAACUGAUUCUCUUUCCACUUUCUCCCCUCAUUUUCACGACAUUCCCUCUCCUUCAUCUCCAUUGAGCUUCUUCUUCCUAGCUUCUUUCGAGCUUUUUUCGAGCUUCUUCCUCCAUUGAAGCUCGUUCUGAGCUUUGUCUUCUCUAUUUCUCCUCCAAUUUGUCAUUUGGAAAACCCUAAAUCGCUAAGGUAAGGGUAGCAUUUUUCAGAAGAUGAGCUUCAGCUUCUCUGCAACUUGGUGUCACGACUAUUGUUUGGAACUCAUUUAGGUGUUUGUUUGCUGCGUAACUUAUUUAAAUUGCUGGAAAAAACACAAGCAUUCCUCGAGAACUUUUUAUUCUUUGUAUCUGUUGUCGGGCUUUUUAUUUUAUACCGCCUUAUUACAGUGUUGUUUUGUCUACCUAAUUGGAGGGGCAAUUGAAGUCUGAUUUACAAACAUGUUAAGUACUUGAUCAAUUUUGAGCUUGUAGGACUAUGAAUGGUUGUUUGACCUUGUUUUUAAUAUUAGUUUACUAGUAAAGUUAGUAAAUUGAAUAUGACAAAUAUUUUUAAUGUAUAAUGCUGAAGCUGUAAGGAUUUAGCAAAAACUGUUGGAGCCAUAAGAUUGAGUAGAUAUUAUUGUAUUGAGUUUAGCUGGAGUUUGCAGGGUGGAAUAUGGGUUUGGCAAACAUAGUUGUUGUAGUAGCUCAAUUUUUAGAGAUGUCAGUUUAAUGUAGGUCGGUAGGUUCUACUCGUGCUAGCCAGCAGGGGCGGAUCUUUGUUGUGGCUGGGGUGGGCCUGGCCCCCCGGCCGAAAAUUUUUGUAGAAUGUUUUUAGUUACGAUCCCCCCUAAA